GGCAGGAGCUUGCGUUCAGGCUCUCGAUACGUCUAUGGUAUGGCGUCAGACUUAGCCCACAGCAGGGUAAGGAAUCGUUACGGAUCUGCGCACAGAGCGGAUCCACAAUAACGCAAGCA
rnacentral:sRNA from 12 species